rnacentral:rRNA from 1 species
CCUACGGGAGGCAGCAGUGAGGAAUAUUGGUCAAUGGGCGGAAGCCUGAACCAGCCAAGUAGCGUGCAGGAUUACGGCCCUACGGGUUGUAAACUGCUUUUAUACGGGAAUAACGCGCCUUACGUGUAGUGCUUUGCAUGUACCGUAUGAAUAAGGACCGGCUAAUUCCGUGCCAGCCGCCGCGGUUAUUCGGAAGGUCCGGGCGUUAUCCGGAUUUAUUGGGUUUAAAGGGAGCGUUGGCCGCAUGUCCAGCGUGCUGUGAAAUGUCCGGGCUCAACCCGGGCCUUGCAGCGGGAACGGGCGUGCUUGAGUCCGCGGAAAGCAGGCGGAAUGCGUCGUGUAGCGGUGAAAUGCUUAGAUAUGACGAAGAACCCCGAUUGCGAAGGCAGCUUGCUGCAGCGGAACUGACGCUGAUGCUCGAAAGCGCGGGUAUCGAACAGGAUUAGAUACCCGAGUAGUC